AUCCUUAACUCAACCAGACCGGUGGGUUCCCUGUGUCUUUUUAGAUGCCACGAUUUCAGUUUGCAUUUUCCUUCAGCUUGAGGGCUGAGACAAAAAGCAAUGCUCUGCACGUUCCCCUCUGAGAGGUUUUGCUUUCUAUUCUCAAGCUAGUGGAAGGAGGUAGAGGCAAGGACCGUCCCCGUGUUGCCAAAUUUGGAGUCAUUUCCUCCUCCCAAGUGCUCAAGGCUGUUUGGAGCAGAGGUUGUACUUGAAGCUCAUGUGCAACCCUCAGCAAACUUUUCAUAAACAGGAAAGAGCCCCAGGGAGGAGGACAAGACAGAAAUCAGUUCUUCUCUGAUCUUUUGUUCUUCUCCCCUUUUUUGUCUUAAAACUAACAAUGCAUCACUUGCUUUGUUGUAUCAAGAGCUGCCAGAUGGAAGUAAAACUCCUUCCUUCAGGAGCAUGUGGCACUCUUCGGUGAGGCCUGCAGCAUGCAGCUUGCCUCUCGCUGUACGGAGGUAGCCAGGCUGUUUGCAGCUGAACAAAUGCCACCUACCGGACCCGCUCCCUGACUGCAACUGAAACACAUGCAAAAAUACAGCGUUUGAGAGAGGAAAGUAGGUACAAGCACAGCUGCUAUGGCAAAGACCCUGGGUCUGCGUUCAGGGCAUGUUAUCUCCCAGGCGGCUUCCCAGCCUGGAAGAGCAGAGGGAACACUACCAGAAAGGACUGUCUUCUGUCCACCUACCAUUGGAAUCCCAAAAUGACUUUGUCGAAGUAUCCCAGAAGCGUUUGGCAGUUCCGGUCCCCGUCUCUUGCAGCAAUGCAUGGCUGAGACCGGGAGUUAGACUUUUUGGAUCCAAGGGGCGUUCUGCUUUUACUUCAGCUGAACUACCUGGGAAUGGCUGCAGGUGGACAAAAGCUGCUGGAGAACCCGGGUGUCAUUCCUCCACCAAGGAUCAGUGCCGUUGGCUGGAGGAGCCGGCAGGGAGCGAGAGUGAGAGCCAUGGGAAGGAGAGGAGAAAAUGUGUCCAUCUUGUCGAAACGGAGCAGGUUGCAGCUGUCUGCAGAGCCGUCUUGCGAAGUGACAAGGGAAUAUUUACAUUAUCAAACACUGUGAUGACGAGCAUCUUGGGCUCUUGCAGUGCUGUACGGUUAAGUACGUCAACUAGCACUGUAACUCUGGGCUUGUGCAGCAGGCACGGUAGUUGCAAAAUUUUGGGGGUAGCUACACCCCUCAGACAUUAUCAUGCAUGAAACGGACAGAGCUGUGAAGCAGAUAAGAGUUUCCCUAAAGUUGAGGAGAGAGAGCAUCUUUGAAGGAUGUUUUGAUGUUUAAUAGGUAAGGAAUGCUUUCUGUACCAUUCUGUGGAGAAAUUUUAAUACAGAGAGAAAAAUAUAUGGAAAAAUUUGCUUGGAAAAGAAGGCUCAGUUUUCCUGCUGCAAAGCAUUCAAUUCUUUUCUGUGAAAAUUGAAAUGUUAA
rnacentral:lncRNA from 1 species